rnacentral:lncRNA from 1 species
AACACCACAGCUGGCCAAGUGCCUACUACAGAAGUUGUGGGUACUACACCUGGUCAGGCGCCAACUGCAGAGCCCUCUGGAACCACAUCUGUGCAGGUGCCAACCACUGAAGUCAUAAGCACUGCACCUGUGCAGAUGCCAACUGCAGAGAGCACAGGUAUGACACCUGAGAAGGUGCCAGUUUCAGAGGUCAUGGGUACCACACUGGCAGAGAUGUCAACUCCAGAGGCUACAGGGUGGCUCGGGGACAUACUGCCUCAAUGUGUCUCUGGCUGAUACCAACAGCCUGGCAGUGGUCAGCACCCAGCUUAUCAUGCCUGUGCCUGGGAUUCUUCUCACAGGUCAAGAAGCAGGCCUUGGGCAGGUUCCGCUGAUCGUGGGCAUCUUGCUGGUGUUGAUGGCUGUGGUCCUUGCAUCUCUGAUAUAUAGGCGCAGACUUAUGAAGCAAGACUUCUCCGUACCCCAGUUGCCACAUAGCAGCAGUCACUGGCUGCGUCUACCCC